UGACCGUAAUCAGAUCCCCUGUAAUUUCCUCCCUCUCUGCGUGUUAUGACAUCGCGCUGUAAUUGCGCCGCGCGCGGGGAGAGGAAGGGCCGCUCUGGUGCCAGCGUGGCUCCGCGCCGAUCCCCCGCUCUCCCUGCGGAGCGCUUCCAUCGCCAAUCAGGGCCUCUAUUGUUCUCCCCGCGCGCGCGUUCUCCCCGCCGUCCCUGGGCCAAUCCCCUCCCCGGGGCUAGGGACGACACGUCGCCCGCGAGGCUGCGUCUGAUCGCCCGGGUGACGGGUCAGUCCCCGUCGCCCCAGCGCGGAGAUUUUUUUUUUUUUAUCAAAGCAAGAACAGCUCGUAACGCCAAUCAAGUGUCUGCGCCAGCCUUGCUGACGUCGCGGCGGCUUGAUGCUAAUUGCAGCCCUGGUGAACGUGCUUGAGUGAGCGAAGAAGAACUCAAGCCCUUUUUUUCACCAACUGUUACACUGACAAACAAGUCACCACCUGACAGGGGGGAGGAAGUGGCACGUUUGAAGUCACCAGCCUCUGACUGAAGCCAAACAACAGAACCCCUGGGUAUCUCUCACACAGACGAUGUGCGCUGGACUGGAAAUGAAUACUUUGUCUUUCUCUCCCUUCCUCUGUCUCUAUCUCUACUCCUCUUUCGCCUUUUUCUCUCAGUCCACCUUCCUCCUUCCCUCUCUCUUCCUCUCUUUAUCCCUCACUCUCUCAGUAGUUUGGCCCAAUUGGAGUGAUGGUCUCAUAGCGGUGUGUUGUCUUCUCACCUACUUAAAAGCUUUUUUCCUCUCUGUAGAAUGAUCCCAUACUUAAACCUCUGAGUCUGAGAUGGAUCAAAUUAGGAUGAAGACUGGACCCUGUAAUCUAGAAUAAGUCUAAGUGUGAUUGUUUUUCAAAAACUGACUGGUUAAAAUUGCAAACAAAUGGUGAAUGUACCUUUCCAUUCCAAGUAAUGCUAAUCGUUUUAAACACCACUUAGAAUGAUUCAUAGGUUCAUUUUGUCAUUAUUUUAGCUGAUGGCAAAAUAAAAAUAAUAAAAAUGUAAUCCAUAAUUUCGUUAUGGAUUAGUAACAGCCAUUAAACCAGAUUUUAAUGGUUUAGGAAGGGCUAUUUCUCUCUCUUCUUCUCCAUCAUUAUCUUACUUCAUUGAUGGCUGUUUAAGGAUAGCCAAUACAACACCAAUCCAAAUAAGCAUCUAAGCCUUCACUGUUACAUUGCAGUGAAGUACAUCUAUAGGGUUUAUAUGUGUGUGUGUGUCU